rnacentral:piRNA from 1 species
UGCAGCAUCGUUCUUGCUGGCGAGU